AUGGACGAAAGUCUGACGGAGCAACGCCGCGUGAGUGAAGAAGGUUUUCGGAUCGUAAAACUCUGUUUUCAGGGACGAAUGUGCGAUAUGUGAAUAAUGUGUUGUAAUGACGGUACCUGACAAGAAAGCCACGGCUAACUACGUGCCAGCAGCCGCGGUAAUACGUAGGUGGCAAGCGUUGUCCGGAAUUAUUGGGCGUAAAGCGCGCGCAGGUGGGAUAAUAAGUCUGAUGUUAAAGUUCGGGGCUCAACCCCGUGAAGCAUUUGGAUACUGUUAUUCUUGAGUGCAGGAGAGGAAAGUGGAAUUCCUAGUGUAGCGGUGAAAUGCGUAGAUAUUAGGAGGAACACCAGUGGCGAAGGCGACUUUCUGGACUGUGUCUGACACUGAGGCGCGAAAGCCAGGGUAGUGAACGGGAUUAGAUACCCCGGUAAUCCUGGCCGUAAACGAUGGGUACUAGGUGUUGGGGGUAUCGACCCCUCCAGUGCCGGAGUUAACGCAAUAAGUACCCCGCCUGGGGAGUAC
rnacentral:rRNA from 1 species